rnacentral:rRNA from 1 species
CCUACGGGGGGCAGCAGUGGGGAAUAUUGCACAAUGGGCGCAAGCCUGGUGCAGCCAUGCCGCGUGUGUGAAGAAGGCCUUCGGGUUGUAAAGCACUUUCAGCGGGGAGGAAGGCGUUAAGGUUAAUAACCUUGGCGAUUGACGUUACCCGCAGAAGAAGCACCGGCUAACUCCGUGCCAGCAGCCGCGGUAAUACGGAGGGUGCAAGCGUUAAUCGGAAUUACUGGGCGUAAAGCGCACGCAGGCGGUCUGUCAAGUCGGAUGUGAAAUCCCCGGGCUCAACCUGGGAACUGCGUUCGAAACUGGCAGGCUAGAGUCUUGUAGAGGGGGGUAGAAUUCCAGGUGUAGCGGUGAAAUGCGUAGAGAUCUGGAGGAAUACCGGUGGCGAGGGCGGCCCCCUGGACAAAGACUGAGGCUCAGGUGCGAAAGCGUGGGGAGCAAACAGGAUUAGAUACCCGGGUAGUC